GUACUACUCCCUUCGUUCAGAAUUACUUGUCAUAAAAAUGGAUGUAUCUACAACUAAAAUACAUCUAGAUACAUUUAUUUCUUGGACGAGUAAUUCCGAACGAAGGGAGUAUUAG
rnacentral:pre_miRNA from 1 species